rnacentral:tRNA from 1 species
GGGAUAUGGCGAAAUUGGUAGACGCUACGG